AGCAGCCGCGGUAAUUCCAGCUCCAAUAGCGUAUAUUAAAGUUGUUGCAGUUAAAAAGCUCGUAGUUGAAUUUCGGGGUCAGUAGAUUGGUCGUGCCUCUGGUACGUACUGGUCUUACUGGCUCCUCCUUCCUGAUGAACCGUAAUGCCAUUAAUUUGGUGUUGCGGGGAGACUGGACUGUUACUUUGAAAAAUUAGAGUGUUUAAAGCAGGCUAACGCUUGAAUACAUUAGCAUGGAAUAAUGAAAUAGGACGUUCGAUCUUAUUUUGUUGGUUUCUAAGAUUGACGUAAUGAUUAAUAGGGAUAGUUGGGGGCAUUAGUAUUCAAUUGUCAGAGGUGAAAUUCUUGGAUUUAUUGAAGACUAACUACUGCGAAAGCAUUUGCCAAGGAUGUUUUCAUUAAUCAAGAAC
rnacentral:rRNA from 1 species